GAGGAAAAGGAUAUUUAUUGGCCGUGAAAACUAAAUAAAAAAAAGCAGCUUUUUUCUGCUUUUGAUUCUGAAUCUUUAAAAUUAAUUUUUUGAUUCUGAAAAAUAAAAUCAGAUUUUGAAAAUGAGGUUGCCAAACGUUUUAUUGAGCCGAAAAUCACUUUCUAACCUGAAAAGCAUUUUUUAAAAGCUAGACCAAACACCCCCUUAGUUUAAGUGACCUACCAUCGUACGAAAAUUUCGCGGUUCAAUUUUUGAAAUUACGGGAGUAAAAAAUGUCUUGGUUGUCAAAUUUUAAUUUUAAAAAAACUCCAAAUACUGCCUUUGUGGUUUCACACUUGUUUACUUUAGUAUAUGUAGUUUAAAGUGUAUUAAUUUAGUGUCCUAUGCUUUUAUUUUUAUCUUUUUAUUAUCGAUUUUACUAAUUUUUUUUCGUUAAAUCAGUAACAAAGUUAAAACUAAAGUGUACUAAAGUAAAUAUUCAAUAAAUCAAGGUGGGGCAUCUGAAGUUUUUUUAUAUAAUUUAACGAAAUAUUAAUGAAGAAGCUGACGAAAAGAUAAAAAUAAAACCAUAGGAUACUAUCUUGAUACACUUUAAACCACAUGGUACUAAAGAGAGAAAGUGCGAAACCAUAUGAAUGAUAUUUGAAGUUUACCCUUUAAUUUAUUAUAAUUUUAAUUUUUUUUACAUUAUUUCAAUUAAGCCUCAUGAUUCAAAUUAAUCGACUUAAUAUUAAUGUGGCGUUAAUGUGAAGUGAUAAAUAAUAGUAUUAUGGUUGAUGACGCGACAAUAGUUAUAUAUUCACUUUAAUUUCACAUUACUAUCAUAUCAAUAUUUAAUCAUCUAAAUUGAGUUAUGAGAUCUGAUUAUAAUAAUUUAUAAAUUUGCUUAUAUAAAAGUAAUGCAACAGUAUUAAUUGAUAAUAUGACAAUAAUUAAACUAUCACAUCAUUUUUUGAUUAACAAGACGAGAAAGUUCCAACUAAAAAUU
rnacentral:lncRNA from 1 species